rnacentral:sRNA from 1 species
UGUUUUUCUCACUUGCUUUUUCUCCCGCUUUGUCAUUGUAGGAGAAAACCAAAGAACUAGCAGAGAAGCAGGCGCAACUCCAGGAGCCCAUCUCGCUGGCCAGCUGCGCCAUGGCUGAUCUGGUUCCAGACUUGCAGCCCAUUCUUUUCUGGAUGUCUAACUCCAUCGAGCUCCUGUACUUUAUCCAGCAGAAAUGCCCACUCUACAUGCAGAGCAUGGAGGAGCAGCUGGACAUCACAGGCUCGAAGGAGUCGCUGUUCUCCUGCACGCUGACGGCCAGUGAGGAGGCCAUGGCGGUGCUGGAGGAGGUGGUGCUGUACGCCUUCCAGCAGUGCGUCUACUACGUCUCCAAGUCCCUGUACAUCUGCCUCCCGGCACUCCUGGAGUGCCCGCCGUUCCAGACGGAGCGCCGUGAGAGCUGGUCCUCAGCCCCUGAACUGCCCGAGGAGCUGCGCCGCGUGGUGUCCGUGUACCAGGCAGCCCUGGACCUCCUGCGGCAGCUGCAGGUGCACCCCGAGGUGGCCUCGCAGAUGCUCGCCUACCUCUUCUUCUUCUCCGGGACACUGCUCCUCAACCAGCUCCUCGACAGGGGCCCCUCCCUGAGCUGCUUCCACUGGCCCAGAGGUGUCCAGGCCUGCGCCCGCCUGCAGCAGCUCCUGGAGUGGAUGCGGAGCGCCGGCUUCGGGGCGGCGGGAGAGCACUUCUUCCGGAAGCUCUCCUGCACCCUCAAUCUGCUGGCCACACCCAGGGCCCAGCUCAUCCAG